rnacentral:rRNA from 1 species
GUGCCAGCCGCCGCGGUAAUACCGGCAGCUCAAGUGAUGUCCCAUAUUAUUGGGCCUAAAGCGUCCGUAGCUGGCCGACCAAGUCUCCCGGGAAAUCCACCCGCCCAACGGGUGGGCGUCCGGUAGAAACUGGCCGGCUUGGAACCGGAAGGCUCAGAGAGUACGUCCGGGGUAGGAGUGAAAUCCUGUAAUCCCGCUCGGACCGCCGAUGGGGAAACCACCUCAGGAGAACGGAUCCGACAGUGAGGGACGAAAGCCAGGGUCUCGAACCGGAUUAGAAACCCGUGUAGUCC